rnacentral:rRNA from 2 species
AGUCGAACGAUGAAACUUAAAUGAUUUCUUCGGAAUGAACUUAAGUGGAUUAGUGGCGGACGGGUGAGUAACGCGUGAGUAACCUGCCUUACACAAGGGGAUAGCCGUUGGAAACGACGAAUAAUACCCUAUGAAACUAUCACUUCGCAUGAAGCGAUAGUCAAAGUGUUAGCGGUGUAAGAUGGACUUGCGUCUGAUUAGCUAGUUGGUGAGAAAAAAGCCCACCAAGGCAACGAUCAGUAGCCGGCUUGAGAGAGUGUACGGCCACAUUGGGACUGAGACACGGCCCAGACUCCUACGGGAGGCAGCAGUGGGGAAUUUUGCACAAUGGGGGAAACCCUGAUGCAGCGACGCCGCGUGAUUUAGAAGGCCUUCGGGUUGUAAAAAUCUUUUGUAUAGGAAGAAAAUGACAGUACUAUACGAAUAAGGUCCGGCUAAUUACGUGCCAGCAGCCGCGGUAAUACGUAAGGACCGAGCGUUGUCCGGAAUCAUUGGGCGUAAAGGGUACGCAGGCGGGUCAUUAAGUUAGAAGUCAAAGGCUAUAGCUCAACUAUAGUAAGCUUCUAAAACUGGCGACCUUGAGUAAUGGAAGGGAAAGUGGAAUUCCUAGUGUAGCGGUGGAAUGCGCAGAUAUUAGGAGGAAUACCGGUGGCGAAGGC